rnacentral:rRNA from 1 species
UACGUAGGGUGCAAGCGUUAAUCGGAAUUACUGGGCGUAAAGCGUGCGCAGGCGGUUUUGUAAGACAGAGGUGAAAUCCCCGGGCUCAACCUGGGAACUGCCUUUGUGACUGCAAGGCUUGAGUGCGGGCAGGAGGGGGUAGAAUUCCACGUGUAGCAGUGAAAUGCGUAGAGAUGUGGAGGAAUACCGAUGGCGAAGGCAGCCCCCUGGGUCAAUACUGACGCUCAUGCACGAAAGCGUGGGGAGCAAACAGG